UGGGGAAUCUUGCGCAAUGGGCGGAAGCCUGACGCAGCGACGCCGCGUGCGGGACGAAGGGCCUUCGGGUCGUAAACCGCUUUCAGCAGGGACGAGGCCCUCACGGUGACGGUACCUGCAGAAGAAGCCCCGGCUAACUACGUGCC
rnacentral:rRNA from 1 species